GGGCGAUUAGCUCAGUGGGAGAGCGCUACCUUGACACGGUAGAAGUCACUGGUUCAAUCCCAGUAUCGCCCACCA
rnacentral:tRNA from 1 species